rnacentral:rRNA from 1 species
UACGUAGGUGGCAAGCGUUGUCCGGAUUUACUGGGCGUAAAGAGCGCGCAGGCGGUCGUUCAAGUCGAGUGUGAAAAGCCCCCGGCUCAACUGGGGAGGGUCAUUCGAUACUGAUCGACUCGAAGGCAGGAGAGGGUAGUGGAAUUCCCGGUGUAGUGGUGAAAUGCGUAGAUAAUCGGGAGGAACACCAGUGGCGAAGGCGACUACCUGGCCUGUUCUUGACGCUGAGGCGCGAAAGCUAGGGGAGCAAACGGGGAUUAAGAUACC